UUGGUGGCGAUAGCGAAGAGGUCACACCCGUUCCCAUUCCGAACACGGCAGUUAAGCUCUUCAGCGCCGAUGGUAGUUGGGGGUUUCCCCCUGUGAGAGUAGGACGCCGCCAAGC
rnacentral:rRNA from 3 species